UACGUAGGGGGCAAGCGUUGUCCGGAAUCAUUGGGCGUAAAGAGCGUGUAGGCGGCCCGGUAAGUCCGCUGUGAAAGUCCAGGCUCAACCCUGGGAUGCCGGUGGAUACUGUCGGGCUCGAGUCCGGAAGAGGAGUGUGGAAUUCCUGGUGGUAGCGGUGAAAUGCGCAGAUAUCGGGAGGAACACCAAUGGCGAAGGCAGCUCGCUGGGACGGUACUGCGCGUGAGGCGCGAAAGCGUGGG
rnacentral:rRNA from 1 species